UACGUAGGGGGCUAGCGUUGUCCGGAUUUAUUGGGCGUAAAGAGCGUGUAGGCGGCCAUGUAGGUCCGGUGUGAAAACUCGAGGCUUAACCUCGAGAUGUCAUCGGAAACCAUUUGGCUAGAGUCCGGAAGAGGAGAGUGGAAUUCCUGGUGUAGCGGUGAAAUGCGCAGAUAUCAGGAAGAACACCCGUGCGAAGGCGGCUCUCUGGGACGGUACUGACGCUGAGACGCGAAAGCGUGGGGAGCAAACAGG
rnacentral:rRNA from 1 species